AGUCUGGCAAUUGCUGGAAAGUAGGUAUUCAUGAGCUUCUCUGCAUCACAGUGGCAGAGGCAAGUGAGAACUCACACAGAGUGUGUUAGCCUCACUUUUAUAACUCCUGCAGAAAAACCAUCACAGACUGUUCUGUUCUGUGACAGAAACUAUUAUCUUUGUGUCUCUUUCUCAGUGCCUGCAGCAGCAAGGGUUCUCUGGGCCACCUCUCUUUCUUAGAUUUCUUGGAGUUGCUGCAAAAUGAGAGAAAAAGGCUCAAAUGCUGCUUGCAGGAUAGUUUAAAGAAGGAUUGCCUUCCAAUUUAUUUCCGUGGGUCUGACUUCCAGAAAGAUUGUCAAACCUCUUCAUGGCCAUUUGCAGUAGCUUAUUCAGUGUGAGAAGCCCCAGAGUGUCCUAAAUUCUCAGGAAAUUGGUGAUACUACUCAGAAAGAUAGAGAAUGUGGAGGGGCAGUGAUCUUGAAAGCAAUACAAAAUUCACAAUGUUCAAAGUUUACAUAAAACAAUUCUCAAGUAACCUCCAAACAGUUCAUGUUUCCUUCUGAUAAAAAUUGGAAAUGGAAGAAAAGCCUGGAGAGGAAUUCACGGUGGCAGUAGAGAUGAAAAACCUACCAAAAUCAACGCUGCAUGUUGGCAUUCCAGUUAUGCCUGGGGUGGGAGCAACUAUUACAGGAAAAUUUGAUACCUGUAUGGCUCUGGUGAAUUUUAAUGUUCACGAUCUGAUAUACUGGACUUGUCUCUGCUCAGGAAUGACAUUUUCCUCUUUAUUGUCAAUCUCUCUUCAUAUACAAAUAACAGCAUCUCUUGGGUACAAAUGAGAUAGAUAAACAGAUAGGUUUGAUCUUGCGAGGAUGCCAUUUUACAGGAAGGGUGAGAUGCAAAAUUUCUAGCCAUGAAAUCUCACCCUUUGUUCUACAUCUUUGCAUGGCAUAUGCGACCUAAAUCAUGCUUUGUUCUCAAGUCUUCCUACAGCUGUUUCACGUAUAGAUGUGAAUAUUAGAGUAACCACUUUUUUUCCUCUAAAUUUACCCUGUAAAACUGGAAGAUAAAGUCACUAGUCUAGGCAUAUGUUGAGGAAUCAUUAGUAAUUCUAAAACACUGUGUUAUCUUAGGAAAAAAGAAAUUUCAACAGGAUGGUAAAAUAUUUUAAGAUGCUUUAAAUUGAGAGUCAGCUGUCAUACUUAAUCUUGACGUAACAUGAUUAUUAAAAACUUACUUGUUGAUUUCCAACCCAAAGAAUGUCAUUACAUAAAAUUACUAACACCACCAAAACCAACAGCAAAAAAAACCAAAAAAACAAAAACCAUACAAUACAAUCUUAGUAACAGCUUCAGGAUUCCUAUUUAAUAUUUUUCUUCUGAAGAAAUUGCACCAAGAACCUGCUAUAAAAUCUUCAACAGCCUUCUAUCUUCUUUGUGACAAUGAGUUUGCUUUGCAGAGAUUCUUCUGAACACUUUAGAUAGGAUUCAGUGAGUUCUGAGAAAAGGGUUUUGCUCCCAUCUAGUAAGAAUCUGUGAGGUAACAUUUGCAUACAUUCCAACUAAGGCUUGCAUUUCUUUGGUAUGCAUACUUGAAAUUAAUGAGCUUCUGAAGAAAGAAAGCACUCUGUCAUCACAAAGAUUUCAAUGCCUGGUGAGUUUUUUGUCACCUAAUGAAAUGUUCUGUCUCUCAGCAAUUGUAUGGCUCAGUAAGUGUUGAGCAUGAAGUUCUCUGCAGAAGAGAUGUGAUAAAUACUCUUCAGCGGCUUUCACUCUUUGUAGGCUGGAUUAGAAUGUUGGCAAAGUGUGAUACCCCUCGAUGCUGAGAAUAUGAGUUGAUCACCUGGUAAUAUCAAACACAAUAUUCUGAAAACUCUGGAAAACACCAGGGCAACAGAAAUUCGAGUUUUACAACU
rnacentral:lncRNA from 1 species